GGCGCGUGCCUAACACAUGCAAGUCAACUUGACUGAAGGAGCAAUCUGACAGUAGAGUGGCGCAAGGGUGCGUAACGCGUAAGUAACUUGCCCCAAGGUAAGGAAUAACGUCGAGAAAUCGGCGCUAAUACCUCAUAAUGCAGCGGAUCCGCAUGGAUAUGUUGUUAAAGGUUUACCGCCUUGGGAUAGGCUUGCGUCUGAUUAGUUAGUUGGUGUGGUAACGGCACACCAAGGCUACGAUCAGUAACUGGUCUGAGAGGAUGAUCAGUCACACUGGAACUGAGACACGGUCCAGACUCCUACGGGAGGCAGCAGUGAGGAAUAUUGGGCAAUGCUCGAAAGAGUGACCCAGCAACGCCGCGUGGAGGAUGAAGGUAUUCUAUAUCGUAAACUCCUGUGAGAGCAGACGAAAGACAGAUUAUUAAUCUGGAUGACUGUAUGCUCAGAGGAAGCCCCGGCUAACUACGUG
rnacentral:rRNA from 1 species